rnacentral:lncRNA from 1 species
GCUCUGUUCCUGUCACUGUAAAAAUCGAUCUAUGAGUCAUGAUGAUAUGGCUUAAACUUUGCUGUUCACUUUUUCCCCUCUUUCUUUCAAUCGCCACUGGAUGAUUUUAUUUUGUGGUGAUAGAUGGGGCCCGGAUUGUUUUGGAACUUCUCUUCAAAGGCUAACUGCUCGGUGCCGCAGAGCCUGCUGCAGACCAUGUUGCUCUCCAGGAUGGCUGGGAUGAAGGAGCAGCAAUUUACUGAGGAGAAACCCCUACUGCAAGAACAAAGAGGACAAGACACUGAGAUGGAGAACUGUGAGACCCUGAUGCCCAUUGGAGACUGGAAGGUACUGAAACUGUUUUCUAUCUUUCCAAAGUACCGUUACUCUCUUUCUCUCUAUCCUUCUCUGGUUGUUGUUAUUACUGUCCAUCACAGGAUGCUGCUGAGGGGGAAACGGCUCAUAAUAAUGACCAGAACGGAGCAAAUAAAAUGGCAUCAGACACCUGGAAACCAUGUGUUUAACCUAUUUGAUACCAUUACACAACUUCCGCUUCUCACCACUAGCCAGUCCUCCCCAAUUAAGGUGCCUCCAACCUCCUGUGCUCUACACUCACCCAUGUAA